rnacentral:rRNA from 1 species
AGCCACGGUAAUACCAGCUCCCCGAGUGGUCGAGACGAUUAUUGAGCCUAAAGCAUCCGUAGCCGGCUGGGUUAGUCCCCUGUUAAAUCCAGCGAUUCAAUCGCUGGACUGCGGGGGGUACUGUCCAGCUAGGGGGCGGGAGAGGCCGGCGGUAUUCCCGGGUAGGGGUGAAAUCUUAUAAUCCCGGGAGGACCACCAGUGGCGAAGGC